AAAAAUGGAGUCACAAGAAUAUAUUAUUAAUCGUGUAAUUCAGGUAGCACACUUGGUUUAUGAUCAAUUGAUCAUUGAUGCCCCUUCAACAAAUCCAGUUGACACAACGGUAACAGUAAGCGCCGCAGCCGGUGUUGGCGUAGUAUUGUUAUUUUCAAUAGUUAUUUGGAUGUAUUGCAAGAGAUCCAAGCCUCGACAGCCAGCUGCUCACGAGGUUGAGACCUAUGCUACCGCCAGAGUACAGUACGUGGAAGUCCAGCCAGUGCAAUCGGGAGCAAGAUUUUUCAAUCGAAACGACACUCCUUACGCGCAGAUCGUUGGUGUUUUGGAGCCCGUUUACAGUAGCAGAUAAAUAUUCAGUGGCGGAUACCAGCAGGCUGAGUAAGCUGAAGCCAAGGGCGGCAAAUUUUAGGGCUAUAUUUCACCGGGACACCAUGGCGGCGCAACCAGUCGCCGGCUACCAACAAAAUGUAUACAGCUCUCUAUAGAGUUACUCACUGUCCGUUUGGUUGCGCAACCAAUUUGGCGGCGCAACCAACUCGGACGCGUGCUCAGAAUGUUACUGGUUGCGCCGCCACACUGGUCGCGCCACCACUAAUUUCUAUAGCGCUGUAUGGUGUCUCACUCACUCGGCCGCCAGUCCGGCCGCCAGUGACGCCCCCACCUCAUUGCAUGCAGCACGUAUCGCACUGUUAUGUUUUAUUUUUAACUGCUUAUUUUAAUAUUUUAGUUGUUUGUUAAUU